AGCUGCCUUCCAAUGUGCUUGUAAAUAUUAGGUUGGUGCAAAAGUAAUUGUGGUUUUUGCCAUUAAAAGUACGGGCAAAACCGCAAUUGCUUUUGCACCAGCCUA
rnacentral:miRNA from 1 species